GAUGAACGCUGGCGGCGUGCCUAAUACAUGCAAGUCGAGCGAACAGACGAGGAGCUUGCUCCUCUGACGUUAGCGGCGGACGGGUGAGUAACACGUGGAUAACCUACUUAUAAGACUGGGAUAACUUCGGGAAACCGGAGCUAAUACCGGAUAAUAUAUUGAACCGCAUGGUUCAAUAGUGAAAGACGGUUUUGCUGUCACUUAUAGAUGGAUCCGCGCCGCAUUAGCUAGUUGGUAAGGUAACGGCUUACCAAGGCAACGAUGCGUAGCCGACCUGAGAGGGUGAUCGGCCACACUGGAACUGAGACACGGUCCAGACUCCUACGGGAGGCAGCAGUAGGGAAUCUUCCGCAAUGGGCGAAAGCCUGACGGAGCAACGCCGCGUGAGUGAUGAAGGUCUUCGGAUCGUAAAGCUCUGUUAUUAGGGAAGAACAAAUGUGUAAGUAACUAUGCACGUCUUGACGGUACCUAAUCAGAAAGCCCCGGCUAACUACGUG
rnacentral:rRNA from 1 species